rnacentral:rRNA from 1 species
GAUGAAUGCUGGCGGCGUGCCUAACACAUGCGAGUCGAGCGGUAACAGAUCUAGCUUGCUAGAUGCUGACGAGCGGCGGACGGCUGAGUAACGCGUGGGAACAUACCCCAAAGUGAGGGAUAACCGCCCGAAAGGGUGGCUAAUACCGCAUAUGGUCUUCGGAUUAAAGGAUUUAUCCGCUUCGGGAAUGGCCUGCGUGCGAUUAGAUAGUUGGUGAGGUAAUGGCUUACCAAGUCUACGAUCGUUAACUGGUUUGAGAGGAUGAUCAGUCAGACUGGAACUGAGACACGGUCCAGACUCCUACGGGAGGCAGCAGUGAGGAAUCUUCCACAAUGGGCGAAAGCCUGAUGGAGCAACGCCGCGUGCAGGGUGAAGGCCUUCGGGUUGUAAACUGCUUUUAUAAGUGAAGAAUAUGACGGUAACUUAUGAAUAAGCACCGGCUAACUACGUGCCAGCCGCCGCGGUA